AUUUCAGUACAGCUGCUGGGCUAGACAGCGAGUAGCCGGGCUAUGGAAUCUCUGCAGGAAUAAACGCAUUCUUUUCUAAAGCCCUCCCACCCCAGGGAGCCCACACCCCAUGCUCUAGAUCUCCCGGGGAGCCUGCUGCUGCUUAUCUAAACAACUCACAAAACAUCAGAAUGAAAAUCCAGCCAGCAAAUGCAGUUUCUCCUGGAAUAGAAGCGUCGUCCCCUGAAGGUGGCCGGUGAGCUGGGCUUUGCCUGAUCUUUCCAGCAGGCUCUGGAAGCCGUGCCUCUGAAGGGAACAGCUCAGGUCUUGCUAUGGUAUUCACCCCUGUAGUCUGAUUACCUCGCUCGUCUCCUCCAUGGUAACCUGUGAUACUACCCCAACAGAGACACUGGGAUGUGCAUAUCCCUUGAGAUUCCUGGAACAAAUCUUUGUCCUCGUUCCCAGCUGAAAGGUGACCUCCGGCGUGAAACUGGAUGAGUAUCUGCUUGUUUAUCUGCAAAAGGGGAGUCAUGAGGUCCCUACACCAUCACACGCUGUGAGGAUGAAAUGGAGUUGGCACAAGGCACCUAACUGCAGGCUUACCUAUGCUGUUCUUACCAUCAUCGUAUCCAGUAGUAAGAUGACUCCCAAGUCACCCUCCCACUCAGGAGAGCUUGCCACCUGCCAAUCGCAGGCAUCGCCGCGUUUUUCAGCUUUUUUGCAAUCAAUCUCAGGGACAGCUCCAGUGGACUUUGGCAUACACGUGGAUCUUCUUCUAUUUCCCAACUUUAACUUACUGUCUCAUUUCAAGAACUCUCUCCCUUCAGUUCCCCCUCCAUAAAUGAAGGAAAGGAUAAAAGAUUGAACCUCAGAAAAACACAAUGCCAGAAGACACAAUGUUUGGACCUUUUAACUCUGUUUUUACAUUUUUAUGUUGAGACAGUUUUUUAAAAAAAAUUUAAUGUAUCAUCA
rnacentral:lncRNA from 1 species